rnacentral:rRNA from 1 species
AGCGAACGCUGGCGGCAGGCCUAACACAUGCAAGUCGAGCGCCGUAGCAAUACGGAGCGGCAGACGGGAGAGUAACACGUGGGAACGUGCCCUUUGGUUCGGAACAACCCAGGGAAACUUGGGCUAAUACCGGAUAAGCCCUUACGGGGAAAGAUUUAUCGCCGAAGGAUCGGCCCGCGUCUGAUUAGCUAGUUGGUGGGGUAAUGGCCCACCAAGGCGACGAUCAGUAGCUGGUCUGAGAGGAUGAUCAGCCUCACUGGGACUGAGACACGGCCCAGACUCCUACGGGAGGCAGCAGUGGGGAAUAUUGGACAAUGGGCGCAAGCCUGAUCCAGCCAUGCCGCGUGGGUGAUGAAGGCCCUAGGGUUGUAAAGCCCUUUCGGCGGGGAAGAUAAUGACGGUACCCGCAGAAGAAGCCCCGGCUAACUUCGUGCCAGCCGCCGCAGUAAAAC